rnacentral:sRNA from 1 species
AUUUUGCUUUUGGGUCAUUCACUGCUAGUGUUAGAAACACAAUCGAUUUUUGUAUAUUGAUCUUUGUGUCCUGUAGCUUGACAAGGGGGUGAAGCUUAGCACAAACGCAGGGCCACCUCCAGGAGCCAUAAUGCCACAGUCUCUGUGCCUUGCCCAGGAACAGGCUUGCCUGCCUGAGUCACAGGCCUUUUAUGACAAUCCUUCCUGUUGUGGAUCAGAUUAGACCACCAUCCCCACUCCCCGUAUGGGCACAGUUGCCAAGACACACAGAUGAAGGGGUCCAUGUGGACAGGUGGCUGGGUGAGGCUGGGCUCUCGAGCCAUCCCAAGAGCUCCUGGGCAUUCACCUUUCCCUCUAGUUUUGUGAAUUUGCCAGCCCGGACUCCGGCCUAGGGGGAGCUGGCCUCCUCCACGGUGGCCAGGAGUGCCCCCCUCACUGAGACGGGAAGCUCCGCAGGCACAUCUGGAAAGGGGAGGCAGGCUCACUGUGUGCCACCUUUGACCUUUUCAUCACAAAAACCUGUCUCACUUCCCAGACAUCUGUAGUGGUGCCAAGAUUCUUCCUGGCCACAGCCGCGUCCUCUGACAGACAAGCCUUCUAGGAAAGGGAAGUAGGGCCUGAGCGCCUGUGUUCCGUGGCUCCCUGACAUUCUCCAGAGCCAGGUACAGGGCCGCUGAGCAGCUCGGCUCCUGAGCCUGCAGCAGGUCAUAGACAGCUGGGAGGGCGGCUGACGCCCCACCUGCCCCCAUGGUCAGCAGCUGACCCAAGAGCCAUCGUUCCUCCUGCCCUUGUCUCUCCCCUCCUCCAGGCGCCUUCCAGGCCUGCUGAUCGGACGAGACUUCUGUUGUAAUUUGGAAAUGUUCUCCCUGGUUCUCCAGGCCCGAAGUCACUGAGGCCAAGACCAUAGUCCUCUCCUGCCCUUGCCCCCCAGGCCCAGUCCCAGCCCAGGCAGGCCUGCUGUUGAUAUUUUGUCUUGUGCUUUUAGAGGAAAGGAGCAGUGGCUUCCGGUUGAAGCCACCAACGCUGAUCCACGGCCAAGCCCCCAGCGCAGGUCUGCCAAGCCAGAAGCCCAAGGAGCAGCAGCGGAGCGUGCUUCGCCCGGCAGUGUUACAAGCUCCGCAGCCAAAGGCGCUGUCCCAGACUGUCCCCAGCAGUGGCACCAACGGGGUCAGCCUCCCAGCAGACUGCACGGGGGCAGUGCCCGCAGCAUCCCCUGACACUGUUGCACGGAGAAGUCCUUCCGAAGCUGCCGAUGAGGAGAAAGAGCCCCAGAAAAAUGAGUCCAGCAAUGCCUCUGAAGAGGAAGCCUGUGAGAAAAAAGACCCCGCCACACAGCAAGCCUUUGUAUUUGGGCAGAACUUGAGGGACAGAGUUAAGCUGAUCAAUGAGAGCGUGGACGAAGCCGACAUGGAGAAUGCUGGACACCCCAGCGCAGACACGCCAACCGCAACGAACUAUUUCCUCCAGUAUAUCAGUUCCAGUUUAGAGAACUCAACCAAUAGUGCCGACGCCUCCAGCAACAAAUUUGUAUUUGGCCAGAACAUGAGCGAGCGAGUUUUGAGCCCCCCAAAAUUAAACGAGGUCAGUUCAGAUGCCAACAGGGAAAAUGCAGCUGCCGAGUCAGGGUCUGAGUCCUCGUCCCAGGAGGCCACCCCUGAGAAAGAGUCCCUGGCUGAGUCGGCAGCCGCCUACACCAAGGCAACAGCGCGGAAGUGUUUGUUGGAAAAAGUGGAAGUCAUCACCGGGGAGGAGGCGGAGAGCAACGUGUUACAGAUGCAGUGCAAGCUGUUUGUCUUUGACAAGACCUCACAGUCCUGGGUGGAGAGAGGCCGGGGGCUGCUCAGACUCAAUGACAUGGCGUCCACCGACGACGGCACACUACAGUCCCGACUAGUGAUGCGGACCCAGGGGAGCCUGCGACUGAUCCUCAACACCAAGCUGUGGGCCCAGAUGCAGAUCGACAAGGCCAGCGAGAAGAGCAUCCGCAUCACAGCCAUGGACACCGAGGACCAGGGCGUGAAGGUCUUCCUGAUCUCGGCCAGCUCCAAGGACACAGGUCAGUUGUAUGCAGCCCUGCACCACCGCAUCCUGGCCCUGCGCAGCCGCGUGGAGCAGGAGCAGGAGGCCAAGAUGCCCGCGCCUGAGCCUGGGGCAGCCCCAUCCAACGAGGAGGACGACAGCGACGAUGACGAUGUCCUGGCUCCUUCAGGGGCCACCGCAGCUGGUGCUGGUGACGAAGGGGACGGGCAGACGACCGGGAGCACAUAGCGGCCGGGAGCCCGGCUGCACACCAGGCUGCUGCUUUGUCCGUCUGUCCGCCCGCCCACCCGCCCCCACCCCACCGGCAGCGUCCAGGUGCGGGGCCGGGAACCACACACCCCGCUGGGCCGGCCACAGUCUGGACCCGCACAUCCUGUUCAAAAGCAGACUCGGGAACUGCCUGAAUGUGGUUUGGGACACGAGACCUCAUCAUAUUGAUGAGCGAACAAACAAGAACAUUUCCUCCCUCCCCUCCUUUGAAUUGAAAUGGCACAUUAAGACUUGUCACGGCUUCUC